rnacentral:lncRNA from 1 species
AGCAGCAAAGGCGGCUCCUCGCGCGGACUAGUUGCUUGUGGAGACUCCAGCUGGCGCCGCCGCCGCCACAGCCAGCAUCGGGGCGGACCAUGUUCCGAGGAAGCUGGGGACAGCCAAGCAGCCGCGUGGGCUCCGCCACCCCAGGGAGCUGGAACUGGUAACGCGCCCCAAGCUGCUGCUGGGGGAGGCCCCUCCCCAGCCCCCCAGAGACGAAGCCACGCCGGGGGGCAGCAGCAACCUCAGCACCAGCUUCACCGCCAGCUCGGCGAGGAGCACCAACAACAACAGCGCCAGCAGCAGCAGCAGCAGCACCUCGGGGUCCAGCAGCACCAUGGAUCUCUCCUUUAUGGCCGCGCAGGUAAAUGGCGAGAGGCAGCCUCCAGACCCCACCCCGUCGAGGGUCCGCUGAGCCUUCGAACCGCCCCUCUCCGCGCCCCCGAAUAUUGGGAGGGGGUGGUUUGCAACAGAUGCGUGGGUCAUCCAUCUCUGACAUCCGUAGCCGUCGUGAUGAAUGAAAGGGGAUUUUGCGUAAAGCGCUUAGGAUUCCAGCGGAACCGCUUUGAGGUUCUGGGCGACUAAGCGGGAUACAAGUCCCGUCGAAUGAAUACAGUGAAAUGAAUGGAGGAGGCUUUGGAUAGAGGGGCGACCUCGAAGCCGCCCCUCACUAGGAAAGGGUGUCGCGGUUGCACAGGUUUCUGGGUGGAUGCUUUGAGAUGCACUGACCCCCCCCUUCCUUUUCUAUUUUUAGGCGAGGAACAGGAGGAGGGGAGUGGGGAAGCCUCUCUCUCUCCCUCUCCCUCUCGCCCUUGUUACUUUCCAAUAACAAGAGGUUUUAGGGCUUAGUGACAUAACCCCGAGAAGAACUUGGGGAUGGAGGGAUAAAGAGGUUUGUGCAAGAUUUUUGUUUUCCCCUUUAUUUUGAAUGCAACAAGCCGAUUUCCCCCUGAAGGAGAUGAAGGGCUGCGUCUGCCUUGCAGCAGCAAAUAAUAGAAUUCUCCAACUGCACUGAUUUCUUUCAUUUGCUUAAGACGUUUCUGUCCCACUUAAUAAUUUGCAUUUCUAAUAAUAAUAAUGUAUUACCCGUCCGUCACCCUAAGGUCCCAGGGUGUAUGCAAAAUUCAGUAUGCUUGGAAACCUGUUCUGUGGGAUAAUUAGAUUUGGUGGUGUGUAGCAUGAGGAAGUACACUUCCCUGUGGGGAUAGAGCAGAUGGGUAGGAAUAAUUUUCAACCCCCCCCCAAUACUUCCAUGUAUAUAGAAUGUAACAGCACUAUCCUCUAUGUUUACUCAGAGUAAGCCCCUCUAAGUUCAAUGGGAUUUACUCCCCAUUAUAUACAUAUAAGACUGGAGCUUUACCUGUGCUUGUCUACUGAGAAAUAAGCCCCACUGUGCUGCUCUGUUCCUGAUCCAUCCAUCUUUCCAUCCUCUGUGUCUUGACCUACCCAUCCAGCACAGCCAUGCUGACUAUGGCUGAUGGGAUUUGUAGUCCAAAACAUCUGGGAAGUAUCAGGUUAGCAAAGUUCGAUCUACUGUUAGAUUUCUGGCUUGCAGUAGAUAACCAAGGAUUUCCAACACAUGGUUGUUUAACAAUAGCAGCAGCAGCAGCAACAAAAAAAAACAACAACAAUCACACACACACACACGAGUUAGCUGCUGAUAUGAGUGGGGGACAAGGACUUAAGGGGAAAUGACGAGUGCAGUUUUAUAUGCGAAUACUGAGAACUGAGUUCCUAGACAUGCAUACCACAGGUGCUCUGUUCCUUAAUUCUAAGGGUGUAUCCACCCCUUUCCUAAACCACUAUUUUCACAGAAUCAUAGAUAUGUAUUCUGGACUGGACUGGACUAGGCUCCAGCUGGCAGACUUCAGUAUUCUAGGGUAAAAAAACAGUCGAUUCUUCAAGCUUGAUGUCUGCCCACCCCUGCCUUAUGGCAAAAGGUUUAGUAGAGCCUCAAUGAAGGAUUAAAGUUUAAUUUCCUAUAUGGAAGAGUUGAAAGGAGGAAGCUCCUGCUGAUUCGUAUCUCCCCAGCUGGUUUCUUGACUGACCUCAUAUAGUGUCAGUGAAGUCGGUCAUAGGAUAAUCAGUGUUAGGAACUGAGAUAUAAAAGCUAGGAGCUAAAUGGCACCUUAAACCUAGGUUAUGGGCACAACAACGGAAUGUCUCGGCACACUUUUUUAAUAACAAGAAUACAAAGCUGAAAAUGAAUGAAAUGCAGCUAAAAUAUUAUGUUCAUUUUUCACAUGGUUUAGUCCUUCCCCUGCCCACCCCACUAAUAUUCUUAAGAGGGUCUCUUCUCCAGUCUUCAGAGAGUAGCUGGACGUGGGGAGGCAGAAAAAGGUCCUCUUUUCCUUCCACUCUGCAGUUUUAAAUCUGAAAUCUUAGGCACAGAGCUCAGAAACCGCUCGCGCUAAUGAAAUUCCUUGUCGCAAAAUGCUCCCAGAACACUGAGGACAAUAGAUCUGGUGUAAUUCUACUGUUCUCUUGU